GCUUCAUACAUGCAAGUCGAACGAGAAUCUCUAGCUUGCUAGAGAGGAAAGUGGCGGACGGGUGAGUAAUGUGUAGAGAAUCUGCCCUUUAGAGGGGGACAACAGUUGGAAACGACUGCUAAUACCCCAUAUGAGCGUACCUGCAAUGGUAUUCUUGAAAACUCCGGUGCUAAAGGAUGAGUCUGCAUCUGAUUAGCUAGUAGGCGGCGUAAUGGACCACCUAGGCGACGAUCAGUAGCUGGUUUGAGAGGAUGAUCAGCCACAAUGGGACUGAGACACGGCCCAUACUCCUACGGGAGGCAGCAGUAGGGAAUUUUGCGCAAUGGGGGGAAAAACCCCCUGACGCAGCAACGCCGCGUGAAUGAAGAAGCCCUUCGGGGUGUAAAGUUCUGUCAGUGGGGACGAAACUUGACGGUACCCACAGAGGAAGCAUCGGCUAACUCCGUGCCAGCCGCCGC
rnacentral:rRNA from 1 species